rnacentral:rRNA from 1 species
ACGGGGGAUGCAAGCGUUAUCCGGAUUUAUUGGGUUUAAAGGGUGCGUAGGCGGAUAUAUAAGUCAGUGGUGAAAGACUGUUGCUUAACGAUAGCAUUGCCAUUGAUACUGUAUGUCUUGAGUGUAGAUGAGGUAGGCGGAAUGUGUAGUGUAGCGGUGAAAUGCUUAGAUAUUACACAGAACACCGAUUGCGAAGGCAGCUUACUAAUCUACCACUGACGCUGAGGCACGAAAGCGUGGGGAUCAAACAGGAUUAGAUACCCUGGUAGUCCACGCCGUAAACUAUGAUCACUGGAUGUUUGCGAUAUAUUGUAAGCGUCUGAGUAAAAGCAUUAAGUGAUCCACCUGGGGAGUACGUCGGCAACGAUG